AUGGACCAGAGCGGAUGUGGCCGCUGUCUGUUUGCCUUUGUGUCCCUCUACACCCAGAUCCCAGGCCUCUAUGGCCGAGAGGGCCUCCUUCCUGCUCAAAAAAACACUACGGCCCCAAGGCAAGAGUCAGUCAGUGGCAGCAGCUAUAGGAAAACUCCAACACUGCUCUGGGAGGCAUUAAGACCAGGGCUGGAUACUGCCCAGGGUCUGCAUCUACUGACCCUAUUGAGCAGCGUGGUAGCACCAGGUGCCCUACUCCUGAAUUCUCUGUGACACCCUUCACCUACCUGCUGCUGUGGGUUGCCUACUUCUCAACCUGUCAGGUGGGCCAAGUAUUCCUUUAUUUCCAGUGCGAUUCCCUGCUGCUGGAGACAGACUUCCUGGCUAUACUAGUAGCUCCACCGAAGAAGCCUUCCAACCACAAGGCCCACCAGGGUGGACUAGCAGGGGCCUUACCCCAUGAAAACCUCCCAUUCUGACUUGUGUUCUGGCUGCUGUUUCAACUCAUGUUUGCCUCUGGUGUGGUCAAGCUGACCAGCCGCUCCCCAGAAUGGUGGGGACUUACUGGGCCUGCCCACACCAGCUGCCUGGUUUGCGCACCACCUGCCAGUCUGGCUGUACAAGCUCAGUGCGUUGGCCACCUUCCUCAGUGAGAUCCCAGAACCUCAUCUGUUUUUCCUCCUAUUUGCCACCUAUGGUUGACCACCUUAUGUACUCAGGUAUUAUUACAAGUCCUGAUUAUCAUUACUGGUAACUACAAUUUCUUCAACCUGCUAACCUUGGUGUUUACCACUUCCUUCCUGGAUGACUGUCACCUGCCUGGCCUCAGAUGCCACAAGAAGAUGCCCACCUCCUGGCCUAAGGUCCUGCUGACCAUGCUAUCCAUACUACUGGAAGUGACUAUGGGCUGCUGGCCUAUGGCACUGUGUACUACUUUGGCCUGGAGGUUGACUGGCAGCAGCAUAUAGCAUCCUCUCUGAAACAACCUUCACCUUCCACCAGUUUUCCCAGUGGCUGAAGAUGGUAACUCUUCCUACUGUGUGGCUGGGGGCAGCCUCCGUGGCCUGGGAAUUGUUUAUUGUCCUCUGGAUGUGGAUCCAAGUGCAAAGAUGGCUACGGAAGUUCUUUGCCAGUAUCCAGCUCUCCAUCCUGGGCACUGCCACAGUGGCCUUGUUCUUGAUAAGCCUAGUACCUUACUCCUAUAUGGAGCCUGGGAUCCACGGGCGGCUCUGGACUGGGGCUCGUCGCCUGUUCAGUCUGUGGAGCAUCUACAGCUGGUCAGCUCAUAUGGCCUCUUCCGUCGGAUGACUGGUCUGGGUGGGUGGCCUGAAGUGGUGCUGGAGGGCAGCGAUGAUGGACAGCACUGGACAGAAAUAGAAUUCAUGUACAAACCCGGAAAUGUGAGCCGUCCACCCCUAUCGUGAUACCCCACCAGCACACACCAUAAUUGGCAGAUGUAGUUUGCCGCCCUUGGCCCACAAACACACAGCCCCUGGUUGACCAGCUUGGUGCUAAGUCUCCUGCAGGGCAAAGAGCCAGUAAUCUGCUUGGUGCGGAACCAUGUUGCCAAGUACCCCUUUCAUGAGCAACCACCCACCUACCUGCGGGCCCAGCGCUGUAAGUACUGGUUCUCAAAGGCUGGGGGGCAGAGCCAAUGGUGGCACGGCCAGUGGGUAGAAUUCUUCCCACCUGUAUCCCUGGGGCACCCAACGCUGGAAAUGCUGCUCCAACAGUUUGGACUUAAGGAUAAGAGUCCAUUCCGGGCCCAACGUGCAGGCAAUGCUCUAGCUCAGACACUGAACUGGGCGCGCACACUGCUAUCUUCUCUGGAGUCCCCACCCUGCUAUGGGGACUUCUGGGGGCUGUGGUGACUGUCAGAACUGUACAGAGGCUGCUCGCCUCCUGCUCACUCCAGUCCUCAUAACUGUCCAGAGAGGAGAAACGUAAGCAGAUUUCCGAAAAGGAUUCCAGAGCUGCCUCUGAACAGGCGGCUGUAGCCCCAACAGCAACAGCAGUGACUCUGGGGCCUCCCGAAGGAAAAUAGCUAGAUGUGCCGUCAUCCAGCCACUUGUCCGAUAG